rnacentral:misc_RNA from 1 species
GCAGCACGUCGAGGCCGAGC